rnacentral:rRNA from 1 species
GACGAACGCUGGCGGCGCGCCUAACACAUGCAAGUCGAACGGAGCUGCGAGAAGCUUGCUUUUCUUAGCUUAGUGGCGAACGGGUGAGUAACGCGUGAGUAACCUGCUCUGGAGUGGGGGACAACAGUUGGAAACGACUGCUAAUACCGCAUAAGCCCACGAUCCGGCAUCGGAUUGAGGGAAAAGGAUUUAUUCGCUUCAGGAUGGACUCGCGUCCAAUUAGCUAGUUGGUGAGGUAACGGCCCACCAAGGCGACGAUUGGUAGCCGGACUGAGAGGUUGAACGGCCACAUUGGGACUGAGACACGGCCCAGACUCCUACGGGAGGCAGCAGUGGGGGAUAUUGCACAAUGGGGGAAACCCUGAUGCAGCGACGCCGCGUGGAGGAAGAAGGUUUUCGGAUUGUAAACUCCUGUCGUUAGGGACGAUAAUGACGGUACCUAACAAGAAAGCACCGGCUAACUACGUG